ensembl:lncRNA
GUAAUAACUAGCUACUUGUUUGUAGAACCAGCGUCUUCACCGGAACGAACUUCACAGGAAAGGUGUAGGUGCAGGCAAAAGCACAGGCUGCGUCAUGCACUUGAGGGGGCGUUUACUUACUAGAGCAUGUGCUUCACUUUUUUUUAAAUCUAGCAGCAAUUUGCAAGGGGUGUAUAUUUUAUUUAUAUUAUUGGCUAAUUUAUUUGAAACCUGGCCUUUAAGAUGUUCUCACACUAAUCAACCGCUAGUAGCUAGAUAGACCGCGUUUAAACAACGUUUGGCGCAGAAGAUGCAGGAAAUAGCUAGCUAACAAGUUAGCCAGCUAACAUGGCUAGCUAAUAUCGUCCCUACACAGAAUGGUUACCAGCCGUCAUGCGCGCAGGUUGUUCACUUUAGGACUAGCCCAAGUUCAUCUUAUUUAGUUAGCUAUGGACUCAAUGCCUUUAAUACGAGGUGUUUUAUUGCGAAAUGACGACACACCUUAUCAAAACCUCAACCGAGAAUUCGCAACGAGAAUUUCUUAUCCUAGCCCUGAGUCACCGUCUCCUCGAGUGCCCGACAUCACAGAGACCAGCGCUGGUCUGGAGUGGUUUGAAAUGGGCCUAGCGACCUCAUCUGGUCCCGCCAGGAGCACAACAGACCAGGGAGUACCACGGUCUCCUUAUGUCACUGGAUCAGUCAGCACCCAAAGCUCUCCACUCAGCAUAGAGAACGUUACAGACCAUGAGUGGUCUUGUUUCACUACAUGUAAUGAGGACGUUGGGGUGUUUGUCACGGAUCUCCCCCGGUACUGCUGCUCAUUCUGUUCACCAGUUCCAGAGGUCUACGUCACCGGCUUUCUAGGCUUCACUGAACGGGAUUCAUUAUCAUCAACUCCGGACUGUCUUGUCUGAUUACACACACCUGGUUCCCAUUUCCCCUGAUUAGUAUGUUAUAUGUGCCCUCUGUCUUUGUCGGUUAUUGUUCCCAUGUCUGUUGGUCGUGAGAGUACCAAUGUGGUGUUGCAGAUUUAUAUAGUGUGUAUUACGGGUAUCGUUUUGUUUACAUGUUUGUUUUGGGUGUAUUAAAAAACCCUAUUGUGUAUUCCUGUGCCUG